AGUAUCAAUUGGAGGGCAAGUCUGGUGCCAGCAGCCGCGGUAAUUCCAGCUCCAAUAGCGUAUAUUAAAAUUGUUGCAGUUAAAAAGCUCGUAGUUGAAUUUCUGCUGCUUUGCAUUUUCUCCUAUACGAGUUUUUGCAUUGUGGCUUAUUUCGGUUAUAAUUUAUUAUUUCCGGAUGUUUACUUUGAGAAAAUUAGAGUGCUCAAAGCAGGCUUUUGCCUUGAAUAGUUUAGCAUGGAAUAAUAAAGUAGGACUUUGGUUCUAUUUUGUUGGUUUUAGGUACCAAAGUAAUGGUUAAUAGGAACAGUUGGGGGCAUUCGUAUUUAACUGUCAGAGGUGAAAUUCUUAGAUUUGUUAAAGACGAACUACUGCGAAAGCAUUUGCCAAGGAUGUUUUCAUUAAUCAAGAACGAAAGUUAGGGGAUCGAAGACGAUCAGAUACCGUCGUAGUCCUAACCAUAAACUAUGCCGACUAGAGAUUGGAGGUCGUCAGUUUUUACGACUCCUUCAGCACCUUGAGAGAAAUCAAAGUCUUUGGGUUCUGGGGGG
rnacentral:rRNA from 1 species